AAAUACUUAUUUGAUUUGCCUGUUGUCAGUUGUUCCCGUUUUUGGUUGGUAUUCCUGAUUUCUUUCUUCCUACGCCUGCUAUGGUUCUAAUAAAUAAAUGGUAAUGAAAGGGAUUGAACGCCCUGUUUCCUGGAAAAAAAAAAAAAAAA
rnacentral:ribozyme from 12 species